AAUUAAAAAGAGCGAGAAGUAGAAGGAGAACGAUCCUAGCGUCCCAUCCCGGCGGCAAGGGCUGCAGCGGCGAGAGGUCCGGUUCCCGGGGCCGUGGUGUCUGCAUCCCUCAGCAGGGAAAUGCCUGGCUCCCCGCAGCCGCCGUCCCUCGCGCCGCGCUCACCUUGUUAUUAUUGAUGUUCCUCGGCGGCGGCCGCGGCCCCUCCNNNNNNNNNNNNNNNNNNNNNNNNNNNNNNNNNNNNNNNNNNNNNNNNNNGGCGCUGACCUCCGGCCCGCGCUGGCGUCAAUGCAGAUCAGCGGCCGGGCCAAUGCCGCGCCAGCCCCGCCCGAGCCUGCGGGGCUCGCAGCCGAGCCUGCGGGGCUCGCACCGCACCGCCGCCCGCUCCGCACCGCAGCCCGCUCAGGGCUCGGGGUAACCCCGGCACGACGCCGCGGGGAGACAGCGAGCGGCUGCUCCGUGAGACCCCUGGUGCCCUUCUUCAGAAACCGGACAACGGACUCGGUUGUUGCUUCCCAUCCUUUUCCUUUUCGACUCUGCCCAUGCCAAUUUCUUUGAAAAUAUUUUUGAAAGCAAAGCCUGUGAAAAGGGAAGAUGGUGCUAUGGGUGGAGCCAGGCCCCGGGGCUUGGGAAAUCAACUGCAGGCAGACUUUUCCUGGAAUAUGUAUGUAACAUUAACCUUUUCUGUUUCUAUAUCAAAUGAAAGUAACUAUGCUUCCUUAUCCUAUAGGUGUGCCGGGAGACUGGACGUCUGUGCGUACCUUACGAGAGAACACAUUCUAUUUAAAGCCCUUCAGACACCAUGCCCAGGGAUCGCCCACAGCAUGCUGGAGUUUCUGCCUCAGAAAGCAGGCAAGAACAACACUCACCUCUACAGGAGAAGCUGCUGUUGAAUGGAAGAGCCACAGAGACAAAACAGCUCUUUGCAUUUCUAAUGCAGAGGCAAACAAAGUACCUUGAACAUGUCUGAAAUUACAAUUGCUACUUCUGGACCAGCCAGGAAAGUGAAAAACUAUUUCUUAUUUUGUUUCCUAAGGAAGAUGCACUGUACUGCUUUGCGCUCUGCCUGAGUUCCUUGAAAUGGGGCCAGAUUCAAGUAAACUCAACAGAAAGGAGAUACCAGGUUCUCAAAAGUAGGUGGUCAGCAGACCAGAGGGGUCCUGCAAAUAUCCCCAGAUUGGGAGGCUCCCAGCUGAGCUCCCACCAUCAAGGGAAGGCACCAGUGUCACACACAGGGUUCAUUUGACAUCAGUCUGGGGACAGGUUUAUUCCAAGCUGCCUUGAGCCUGGCAGUGCUGGCCAUUAGUGACACCCAGCACUGUUCAGACCUCACCAAAAUGUUCAGCUGCUCACAUGGAGGGUGCAAGUAUAAAUCUGGGACCUCAGAUCUGACAGGCCUUUGACCCAAGCCCUGGUAAGGCUGCCCUUUAUGGAGGCUGCCCUGGGCUGGCACUUCCAAGCUGCUGCCCCAAGCAGAUGUGUCAGAACAUCUUAAUAGACAUGCUGCUGUAACUUUAACUCUAUUAGCCAACAUUAAACAAGGUUUAAAUUUUUUUUUGCUUCCCAAGAUAAGCUGCAAGGCAGGGAUCAGGGCUGCUGUGAGAAAACACGGACUCUUGGUAUAGUGAAAUAAACCUGUUUGUUCCAGCUACA
ensembl:lncRNA